rnacentral:lncRNA from 10 species
CCUCACCCGCUCUCUGCUUGCUUUUCUCUCUCCUAUUUUCUCUCUGCUUCUCUCCAACUGCCAGCUGAUUGGGUCAGGCAAGUCCAUCCCGUCCCGAGAGCCCCAGCCCCACUUCGACCUCUAAACAGAUCCUCCUCUUCUCAGAGACCUCCCUUUCCAAGCCUGCCUGGGCGGGUGUCCUGUGACUUGACAGUGGCUCCCCCAGCCCCAAAGCCAGCCCCCUUCAUCUGUGACUUAGUCUGUCAUAGUGGUGAGCUGACACAUCCAGGUGUGACCGUUGCUGAAAACUUGGGCCCUUUCUGUGGUAUGCCCCUGCCCUGUUCUAUAAAUAUCUAUAAAUACUCAUACAUAUAUAUACACCUACACAUGGCUGACCGCCUUGCCUCUAGCACUGGGAAUCAGUCACCAUACUGUCCUUGUGGAAUCUUGUGGCCCAGCAAGAGGAAGCUCUCCCCUGACAUUGCCCCUCCAAAGUGUGCCACCUCCAGUGAGCCUCCCUGUCAUGCCUGGCCUGUGGACAGCCAGCCCCCGCCAUCCCUCCCACCCCCCACCAAGCAUGGGGGUGCUGUGCAGGCAGCUUUGUGGCCUGACAGUCUCUACCAGUCCUGGUGUCCCUUGGCUGAGAAUCAAACCCAUUUCUGGAUGAUGGGGAAUGUGUCCUCUGCUGGCUGUGUUCUCUGUGGAGCUCAGGGGAGGGAAAAGGCCAAGCCAUUUCUAGGGUGCUGUUGGGAGUGGUGAAAAGGCCACACCUUUUCCAAGGGACACUUCCUGGAAAGCCCCUGGAGCUUAGCUGGCUCUUAUCCUGUGAAGCUGGCUCUGGCCACUAGGGGGCAGGGCCAUGAACUCAGCCUGGAGGAGCCUGCGGGGCAGCUGACACUCUAGAGGGACAGACAGAACAGGCCACCCGGUGCAGACAGGAGAGGGAGGCAAGGGGACGGAACGGAAGAUGCCGGGGGUGGAUGGAAGUCAGUGCCCUUUGGUGCCGGUAUCUGUCUUCCCGGCCACCGCUAGAUCAGGCUUCUGAGCCUGUUGGCUGUCAGGGUCGGACUGUGCCCCAUAGGCGCCAUGGCAGUCCCCAUGCAAUCCACCAGGUGUCACCAGGCAGCAUACAAGUAACAGGCCUGGAAGGUCCCCAACAGCCCAGCUGGACAUGCUCACUCUGGGGCUCUUCAUUCAGUGGCACAAACUCCAGGACCCAGUGAGGGAAAUGGGAACCCACCACGCUGAGCAGUAUGGCUAAAUCCAUUUAUUCCAAAAUGGAAAGCAAAAUAAACAGGAGUCGCAUCACCAAGGCAGCCAGGACCCCAUCCCCUCCUCCUUCCUCUGUCCUAUGCUAUCAAUAAAUAAGUUUCCCAGCCACAAAUAAUGAUUAGAACCUCCUCCUCAUAUGCCAGCUCCAACCUCCGCUAGGUACUAUACAGGGGGUGGCCCUACCACCCGGAAUAUACAAAAUGUUACACAGAUACUAUAUGUACACUGCGGAAGGGGGGCCACCACAGCAGCCCAUGCCCUCGCCUGCUCUACGGUUAGCUCCACUGUCCCACCUCAGCUGCCUCUCUGAAUAAGAUGGGAGCCCCCUGAGGGAAAAGUUGCUUUGGUGAGAGUAGGGAGGCCAUCAGGCCUCCUCCAAACAAACCAGCUCUACCAGCCUCUGGCUCUUAAAUAAUAAUCAUCAUCAUCCAGAAACUUAAGGACUCAGCCCUGGUCAAGGUGGCAAAGGGUCUGUUUUUCUCCCCCCAUUAGACAGGGGUCUUGUCUUGCUACCCUAAUGGUAAAGGGGUGACUGGGAAGGGUUGGUAAGAACAUGGUAGGGAUGGAGACUCCAGCCCCACUUCUCUGGGCUUAUGCUGACAGAGACCUGCUUUUAUUUUUAUCCCUUGAGUUUUUUAAAAAAAUCCAGUAACUUUAUUCAUAACUUUUUCAAAAACUUUUCAUAAAACAUUUUUCUACUUUUUUUCCACAACUUUUGCCGCAACUUUUCCACAGCAUUUUUUAUCCCAUAACUUUUUCAUCCCACAACUUUUUUUAAUACCUGUAACUUUUUUGUUUGUGUUCUUUUAAUAAACACACUUGCAUAGUUACAUUACAAUUUUGUAAAAAUAAAAACCGAUUAUCUCAUGCCAAGCGUGCCCAGCAUUUGCGCAGUCUCAAUACCUUUAAUACUAUAGUUUUCAAGACACACAAAAUUUUAAGGCAAAAACAGCACUUUGCAAC